rnacentral:lncRNA from 1 species
GUUGUCAUGGUGUCAGGAAAGUGAACUUGGCUCUCCAAGGCUUUCUCUUUAUUCAAGCUCAGAAUUGCAGAGGGAUAGGCAUCCACAUAGCCUUGAGUUUGGGAACACUGCUUUGCAAUGGGGCGACGAGAAUUUUAUCAGAAAGAUUGCAGGAACAGAACCACAGUACACACUCAGAGUGAGGGGCUUAUAAGGAGAAGAUAUCCCAUCGUUCAUUGUUCAUUGUUCAUUCAUUGAAGAUAUCCCAACAUUUAGUUGUCACACAUGAGCAGCCUGGCAGUAUCCAAAGCCAGAAAGAAAUGAUGGCAGUGAUCAUCCCCUCACUAGAGUUUUCACUAAGUCCGUGGGAGGAGAUUUCAGCCACUACAUGCUUCUUCUUUAAGUCAGAAUUCUCCAGCCUAGCUAACAAAUGCCUUCUUCGUAAACUUACAUUUCAGCCUACACACCCAUGGAAGAGAAAAUCCCUGUGAAAUAUAAGGGCCCCUUCUACGUGCUCAAGAUUAAAAAAAAAAAAAAGGAAAAAGUAGCUCUCACAUGCUUUUGGCAAGUUUUUGAACCAGCUGAUGUAUGGGCCAGGUGAUGUAUGGACCCCUGAUAUAUGGAGCAGCUGAUGUAUGGACCCCUGGUAUAUAGACCACUGAUGUGUGAACCUCCUGAUGAGUGACCCACCAAUAUAUGGACCAGUUGAUGUAUGGACCCACUGAUGUAUGGACCAGCUGAUGUAUGCACCCACUCAGAUGGAAUCUCUCUGUCAGCCAGCCUGGAGUGCAAUGCCA